AAAGUUAUGCGAAUUAGACUACUCGAACGUGUCAUUCGGGUACCGGACGAAGAAGAUAUCAUCAAUUUAGUGAGAGGGGCAAAAUGGUCUUUUCCACAUUAAACCGACUGGGGGUUCCCUUGUUCAUUUCAGCGGGUCUUCCAUAGUGUUUCCCCUUGUCUAUCAAAACCAAACCCAGAAGAUAAGUUCGCAUUUUUCUUCUUCUUAUUUUUCUCUUUUCUUCUUCUUUCUUCUUCUUCUUUUUUCUGUCUCUGUUACCGGCGAUUGAGGGUUGAGAGUUCGAUCUGAGAGAUUUAAUUGAAGAGGUAGAGCAUGUUAAGUAGAAGAUGAUGAUGAUAUUGUGGUUAAUUGAGCACGAGAUGAAGAUGAUUGGGUUUUUCUAUGAUUAUGAAAUAGGGUUUCUGAGAAAUGAAUUCGAUUGAAGAUUUUUAUGAUAUUGAGGAUGAAAUUAAGUGAUUAAUGAUGGGGUUUGAUUAUUGAGAACAACGAAGAAGAAUUGAAGUCGAAUUUCAAGUUUCAAUAAAGAAUUGAAGAACUAGCUAGGGUUUUAUAGGAAAUUCAGAAGAAGGAUUGGAAGAUGAAUUGGGAGUUUAAGGAAGGGAUUAGAUAUGGGUUUGACGUGGAUUAGAGUGGUGAUUGAAGUUUUGCUCCAUUUAAGAGUAUAUGGUUUUAAUUUUAAAUCUGAGAUUGAUAACCAAAUGUUGUUUAUGAAGCUAGGGGUUGUUCUGAUAAUAGGAGAAGAAGGUGAUAAACAUGGUAAGAUUUCAGUGAUUAAUCUCUCCUGCAAUUUCUCAAUUGGGAAUCGAUUUAAGAGGGGCUGGUGUUGGUUUUGAGAUGAGUUAUUGAUUUGAGUCAGAACAAAAGAGAAUCUGGAUCGCAACUACCUGAGCAAACUUGAUACAGUAUGAGGUAAUUACUUUCUUAGACAAUUGAGUUGAGGUUUUGUUGGUGUAUGAAUGAAACAAUGCUUGUGUUAAUACUGUCGAGUUAUGAGAAUUGGUGGUAAUGGUGAUUCUGAAGUUUGAAUAUGACUCUCAAAUGGAGAUCUGGUGUUAUGGUUAUUGUGGUGGUUGAAUCGGUUAGGUGCGUAUGAUGUUGAGUGAUGUGGUGUGUGAUGCUGUUAGAGGGAGAAUAAGAUGUUGACUUAGUGAAGUUGAUACUGAGUAGGAUGUUGUAAUGUUGGUGGUGGAUGAAUGUUGUUGUUGAUGUUGCUUAGAGUUGGAGUUGUAGCUAGUGAUUGCUGUGAAAGCUUGUAACUGCAAUUGCAGGUAAACUUAGUUUGUAAUUGUAAAUGAGUUAUAAAGUUUACUUAAAAUGAAUGUAUCUAGAAUUGAAAUGUUAAUGAAGUAGAACUGGAAAUGAGACUA